CGGCGCCGGCCGGCGGCCCACGGCCCCCCAGCCAGGGGGGCUGAGGAAACUCCGCCCUCCCCGCGGCGGCCGGGCCCCGCAAGGGGCACGGGUGAAACCCGUGGCAACGGCACAGAAACGACACGGCCCCGGGGCGUGUCGAGGACGCGGCUAGGCCGCCCUGGCAACAGGGCGGCAGCAAACCGCAGAGGAACCCCGGGGAUGCGGUGAAACGGCCGCCCCCGGCGGAGCAAGGCCCCCGGGCGGUGAGGGCCGCGCGAAGCCCGGGGGGAGACCGCUUAGCCCAAUGCCGCCGAAGUACAGAAGGCGGGUUAUGGCCGGCGCCG
rfam:Aeropyrum pernix K1 DNA, complete genome.